rnacentral:rRNA from 1 species
GACGAACGCUGGCGGCGUGCCUAAUACAUGCAAGUAGGACGCAGUUGCGAACGGGUGAGUAACGCGUAGGUAACUGCCUAUUAGAGGGGGAUAACUAUUGGAAACGAUAGCUAAUACCGCAUACUAGUAGAUGGACCUGCGUUGUAUUAGCUAGUAGGUAGGGUAAUGGCCUACCUAGGCAACGAUACAUAGCCGACCGGAGAGGGGGAGCGGCAACACUGGGACUGAGACAAGGCCCAGAAUACUCCGGGAGGCAGCAGGAGGGAGUCUACGGCAAGGGGGGGAACUCUGACAGAGCAACGCGGCGUGAGUGAAGAAGGUUUUCGGAUCUUAAAGCUCUGUUGGUAAGGAAGCGGGACUUAACUAGAAAGGGACGGCUAACUACGUGCAAGCAGCCGCGGUAAUUC